CGGCUGAACUCAAAUUUGGGUCGAUCUAACUCAAAUUAAUAACUUCCUUCGAAACGUCAAACUCUGAGUAACCGAGUUUUAUGAAUUUGAGUGACUGUUACCCAAAUAAAUAUAAAUAAGUGGGAAACUCAAAAUUGAGUUCACCGUGAAAAUUUCUUUAUAAUGGCGAAGUCCGGUUGCUGAAGAUAGUCAGAAAUCAUAUUCAAUUAUAAACCAUAUGUUGAACGAUAAAUAGAACAGAGAUUGAAAUGAAGACAAAACAAUCUGGAGAGUGUUUCUUUUCGCUACUUGUUGUAUCGGAGUUCUAUCUCGGCCUGAAAUUCAGGCUCUGAAGGCUAUGGGAAAGUGCGAGCUUCUGAGGAAUGGUACACUUUUCGACUCGCUUUUCGAAGCGACAAAAAUCAUGCCAGGCUACGAUAUUACGUGCUUCCUUGUGCUUCUUACCAAUAACAAAAUUGAAAUAAUUUCUUUAUAUGUAUUAUAUUAUUGAAAUAAUGUGCAUAUCAUUCGGUGUAACAAAUAAAAUGUUUUUAAACUA